rnacentral:rRNA from 1 species
UACGUAGGGGGCGAGCGUUGUCCGGAAUCAUUGGGCGUAAAGAGCACGUAGGCGGCCUGUCAAGUCGGAUGUGAAAACCCGUGGCUCAACUGCGGGACUGCAUUCGAAACUGGCAGGCUAGAGUCCAGUAGAGGAAAGUGGAAUUCCCAGUGUAGCGGUGAAAUGCGCAGAUAUUGGGAAGAACACCGGUGGCGAAGGCGGCUUUCUGGGCUGAGACUGACGCUGAGGUGCGAAAGCUAGGGGAG